GCUGGGGCCACUUCCCUUGGAGACCUGGCCAUGCACCUGUUGGCAGCCAGGCCAGGUUCUGCUCUGCCCCUCACACUGAGCAGCCUCUUUGUGAAUAGGAGUAGUCAUGGCCUCUAGUCCUGCCUCUAGAAAAACAGAGAGCGAAGGGAAAACAGCAUGAAAAUUCUCAAACUACAGGAAGUGGAGAGAACAGUACAGUGACCCUACACGCUUGUUACCAGCCUCACCUGUCACCCACAUGGAGUCCUUCCCAUUCGUGGGGUUUCCAGGAUUUGCUGAGCACCUACUAUGCAUCAGACGUUGUGUUCUAGGCAAGGGGGAUACACCUGAUGGAAGAAGGUGCUUCCCUAGACGUAGCUAACAUCCCAGUGUGGGACAUGACAAGAAACAACGCAGAAACUGGAAUUCACCGAAAGGAUGGA
rnacentral:lncRNA from 1 species